rnacentral:rRNA from 1 species
UACGUAGGGUGCGAGCGUUGUCCGGAAUUAUUGGCGUAAAGAGCUUGUAGCGGUUUGUCGCGUCUGCUGUGAAAAUCCGGGGCUCAACCCCGGACUUGCAGUGGGUACGGGCAGACUGGAGUGUGGUAGGGGAGACUGGAAUUCCUGGUGUAGCGGUGGAAUGCGCAGAUAUCAGGAAGAACACCAAUGGCGAAAGCAGCUCUCUGGGACGGUACUGACGCUGAGACGCGAAAGCGUGGGAGCGAACAGG